CGACCCUCUCACACGCACCCCCUUAGAGCUGUGAGCCCUUAAAAGGGACAGGAAUUGCUCACUCGGGGAGCUCGGCUCUUGAGACAGGAGUCUUGCCGAUGCCCCCGGCCGAAUAAACCCCUUCCUUCUUUAACUUGGUGUCUGAAGAGUUUAGUCUGUGGCUCAUCCUGCUACAUUUCUUGGUUGCCUUACAGGGAAGCGAGGUGAUCGGCGGAUGGUUGAGGCAGCUCCACAGAUGGCUUAAGCCUGCCCUGUUGAACAUUCCUGCAGGGACUCUGACCAGCCCGAGCUACGCCAAUCCUGAGAGCACUCCCGGGUAGGCAUUUGCCCCGUUGGGACACCUCGCCAGAGCAGUGUGUGGCAGGCCCCCAUGGAGGAUCAACGCAGUGGCUGAACACCAGGAAGGAAAAGGCACUUGGAGUCUGGACAUCUAAAACUUGAAUUUCCAGUAAACCAGCACCAGCCUGAAGAUCACGUUCUCAUCAAAGGGUGGAAAGAAGAAAAACUCGAGCCAGCCUGGGAAGGACCCUACCUUGUGCUGCUAACCACCAAGACUGCUGUUCAUACAGCAAAAAAAAAAAGAAAACAAAAGGAUGGACUCAUCACACCCAAGUCAAGAAAGUGCCACCCCCUCCAGGAUCGUGGGCCAUAGCCCCAAGGGAAAACCCUACCAAAUUAAAGCUAAGAAAAAUGUA